CCUACGGGAGGCAGCAGUGGGGAAUAUUGGGCAAUGGGCGCAAGCCUGACCCAGCAACGCCGCGUGAAGGAAGAAGGCCCUCGGGUUGUAAACCUCUUUUAUCAGGGACGAAACAAAUGACGGUACCUGCUGAAUAAGCCACGGCUAACUACGUGCCAGCAGCCGCGGUAAUAUGUAGGUGGCAAGCGUUAUCCGGAUUUACUGGGUGUAAAGGGCGGGUAGGCGGGAGAGCAAGUCAGACGUGAAAGUCCAGGGCCCAACCCUGGAACUGCGUUUGAAACUGUUCUUCUUGAGUGAUGGAGAGGCAGGCGGAAUGCCGGGUGUAGCGGUGAAAUGCUUAGAUAUUGCGCAGAACUCCGAUUGCGAAGGCAGCAUACCGGCGGCGAUCUGACGCUGAGGCACGAAAGCGUGGGUAUCGAACAGGAUUAGAUACCCUAGUAGUC
rnacentral:rRNA from 1 species